rnacentral:rRNA from 1 species
UGGGGAAUUUUCCGCAAUGGGCGAAAGCCUGACGGAGCAAUACCGCGUGAGGGAUGACGGCCUAUGGGUUGUAAACCUCUUUUUUCAGGGAGGAAUCAAUGACGUGUACCUGAGGAAUAAGCAUCGGCUAACUCCGUGCCAGCAGCCGCGGUAAGACGGAGGAUGCAAGUGUUAUCCGGAAUCACUGGGCGUAAAGCGUCUGUAGGUGGUCAAAUAAGUCAACUGUUAAAUCUUGAGGCUCAACCUCAAAAUCGCAGUCGAAACUAUUCGACUAGAGUAUAGUAGGGGUAAAGGGAAUUUCCAGUGGAGCGGUGAAAUGCGUAGAGAUUGGAAAGAACACCGAUGGCGAAGGCACUUUACUGGGCUAUUACUAACACUGAGAGACGAAAGCUAGGGUAGCAAAUGGGAUUAGAUACCCCAGUAGUC